AACGCACAUUGCGCUCUCUGGUAUUCCGGAGAGCACGCCUGUUCGAGCGCCAUUUCAACCCCCAAGCAAUGCUUGAUGUUGGACGCAGCGUGAGCGCUCGUCUGAAACUCGUGAGGCGCCGUCCGUCGAGCACCAGCGUGGCAAGCUUAUAGCAAAACGCUUCGUGUUCCGAUUGUCGGUGGCCGCGAACUGUCCUAGACAAUUACAUCCAAAGGUUGGCCUCGGAUCAGGUGGGGAUACCCGCUGAACUUAA
rnacentral:misc_RNA from 1 species